AUUGAACGCUGGCGGCAUGCUUUACACAUGCAAGUCGAACGGUAACAGGCCGCAAGGUGCUGACGAGUGGCGAACGGGGGAGUAAUGCAUCGGAACGUGCCCCGUCGUGGGGGAUAACUACUCGAAAGAGUAGCUAAUACCGCAUACGAUCUAUGGAUGAAAGCGGGGGACCGCAAGGCCUCGCGCGAUUGGAGCGGCCGAUGUCAGAUUAGGUAGUUGGUGGGGUAAAGGCUCACCAAGCCAACGAUCUGUAGCUGGUCUGAGAGGACGACCAGCCACACUGGAACUGAGACACGGCCCAGACUCCUACGGGAGGCAGCAGUGGGGAAUUUUGGACAAUGGGCGCAAGCCUGAUCCAGCAAUGCCGCGUGCAGGAAGAAGGCCUUCGGGUUGUAAACUGCUUUUGUACGGAACGAAACGGCUCUGGUUAAUACCCGGGGCUAAUGACGGUACCGUAAGAAUAAGCACCGGCUAACUACGUG
rnacentral:rRNA from 1 species